CUUCUGAUUCCAGCAGUAUCAAUAAGCCAGAACUUCUGAAAACAAGCAAACAUUUUAAAUCUUCGCUCCUUUCUUCUCCGCAAGAAAUUUUCCUUCAGCCCCAUUCUUCCCCAGACCGCAGAGUCCCCUUCUCUCCAGUGGUCGCAUUCUCCAGCCAAAAGCCAUCGUCUUCGUGGUCUUCAACGUAAGUCUCUCUUCCUCUUCUCCGUGCCGUCUCUUCUUUCCCUCUUCUCCGAUUCUUCAACAUAAAUUACCUGCCAAUUUGCUACCCAGGACAAAUAAUUAUUGAAUCGGCUUGGCUCCACGAAUCAUCCAGAAGGCACUACAAAUUCAUCCACAAAUCGGCUGGGCUCUACCCUAUACAACAUCCACGAAAUGUAAGUACGGCUGGAUCUCUGAAAAUUAAGUAAUUGCUAAGAUUAAUAUGUAUAACUACUGGCUAGGCUGCAUAUAUCUAUGCAUAUGGGUUAAGAACAAUGUCGUGAUCAGGGUACGCCCAUAAAUUAAUGCCAUGAUCAGCUCGAUCGAGCUGUAAUCUGCCAUCAAGUUGUAUAUAUAGUCUUUGGACCACCAGAUUAAAUUAAUUGAGAGCUAGUUAAUCAAACAGAAGAUCAGAGGCCUCUUACUUGAUAUUCAUGCUCAUUGCUCAUGGAUUUUUGGUGAUCUUCCAGCAUCAUCACACACACACACACACACACACACACACACACACACACACACAUAUAUGAAAUAUCCACCUCCAAAGUUUUAAUACUCUGAUGAACUAUAUACACACACAUAUAUACAAAUAAAAAAUUAUAUUUUGCUAGUCAGUACUAAUUAUAUUCAAUCUAGGUCCAUAAUGAAGUCAUGAAGUAGAACUACACAAAUGCAUGUUCUACUAAUUUAAUAAUGUGGUUCACCUUGAGAUAAGGGAAUUGACUUUGUUGGGUUUGUUUUUUUUUUUUGUGAAUGAUUGGUGUCUGUUUGGUGUAUAAUAUGCUGCCAUUUAUAUUGGAUAGUCCUAGAAAAGUGGCUGCAGGUGGUUGUUUGAUGCAGUUUAGUGGUGAAUCAAGUGUCUUAUUAUAGUGGAGCUCUUAUUUGUUUCUUGAGUGUAUGGUUUUUAAUUAAUUUUGCAUGCUACUACUGGUUUCAAGAGUGAAGAUGAAAAUACGAACCCUGUUUGUUGUCUAGAAAUGGGCAUUUUUCUGUUUGCUGACCUGAAGAAAAAUAUUAAAAACAUAUAUAUCCCAUCUCAUUUUCAUGUGUGAAGAUAUGUGUGUAAAUACGUCUGAAGACAUGUGUGAAGGUAUGUAAAGAAACUGUAGGAAAGAAAGUUUUGCAUGUAGGAACAUUAUACCAUUCUUCCAGUAACAGUAUUCUCAUACUGUGGAUUUGUGUUUGAUUCUUUGCUUCAGCAUAUGAUAAUUUGUAUAUUUGUAUUUGAUGUUAGAGUAUGGUUAUCAUAAUGCUCUGGUUUCUCUGUUGGUCUGUACAUUUGGGAGAUAAAGGGCUCAUUAUUUGCACUUGUAUAAUUUGCUUUUUGGAUUUGAUUGUUUGAUUCAAACUAUUUUGAACUUUUGACGUUAGGUCUUGCUAAACUGUUUUUUCCCCUGCCCAUGUGAUGUAGGAAAGAUAAGCUUGUAUCAGGACAAACUAGAGAGGUUCAUAGACUUGAGUAAAGCACCACUUCGACCCUCUACUACCUUGAAUUAUCAGGCAGCAACACGUUUUAUUGAGCAUUCUUUCCCUGACCUGACCCCAGGUAAAUUGUUCUUUUCUAAUUUUUAUGUUCAUGAAUCUUUAACCAUUUUUAGCUCUUUGCAUUGAGGGAUUGCUCAUUUUUUGUACACCAGAAGCUAAGUAUGAGAAAUAUUAGUAGAGGAGAGGGGCCAAAGAUGAAGUAUCUAGAGGAGUGUCCAAUAGAAGCGGAAGUAUCAAUCAUCUGAAAAACAAUCGGUUCAAAUAGCUGCCAAGGAAUUUCUUGAGAAGGCAGCCCGUGAACUUUGAUAAUAAAGGUGGUUUUAGGGGACCUCUACAGAUUCUGAGCCUUUUAUGUAUAAUUCUAGAUAUCAUGGAUUCAUCUUUCCCUGUGACAGUAACAACUCUUUGAAGGGUUGGGUAGAAGAAAGGUUGGCAUCUUUGUAUAUAUGAUUCUUGGGUGUGAAGGGUUGGCAAAAUGUA